rnacentral:rRNA from 1 species
UCCCACCUGACCCCAUGCCGAACUCAGCAGUGAAACGCCGUCGCGCCGAUGGUAGUGUGGGGUCUCCCCAUGCGAGAGUAGGGCACUGCCAGAC